GGCCAAGUCUUCAUAGCUUCAAUUUUCUGGGUAUCAACUCGAAUGCCAUCAGCUGAAAUAAUAUGGCCCAGAAAAGUCACAGAAUUUAGCCAAAACUCGCAUUUUGAGAAUUUUGCAUACAAUUCUCGAGUUCGAAGAAUUCCCAGGACAAUACGUAAAUGGUCUGCAUGAUCUGAUUCUGUGCGAGAGUAUACCAGAAUAUCAUCAAUGAACACUAUCACGACUAGAUCCAAAAGAGGCCUCAAUGCAUUAUUCAUCAAAUUCAUAAAUACUGCUGAUGUGCCGUGAAUUUCGGCACAUUUUAUGCCUUUGUCACUAGAAGUGUUGCUUGUUUUUAAAUGUUUUUACAUCGUUUCUGUUAUACCCCGUACAUUUAUACGUCGAACUAUUCGCAAGAAAAUCGACUCGAGUUAAAGACGGAAUCACUUUCGGACACAAAAUAGAAAUCUUUAAUUUUCAAUUAUAAUUAAAACAUAAAUUGUUUAUAAAUUUUAUUUAGUGUAAAAAAAAUAUUGGAGAUUGGUGAUUAAUUAAUUGUGAUUAGAUUUUUAAGUGGGAAUUAGUUAUUAAUUAAAAGUAAUUAAGUUAAUUAAUUAUAUCAUCUAGUGGGCCCCACCUGAUUUUUAAAUUAAAAAAAAUAAUUAAAAAAAAAACAAAAAACAAAACAGAAAAUGGUGAGUCACAAGGAGAUGGCAACGUGUCAACUUAAAGGGAACCAUAUAAAUGGUUGAUUAUUGAAUCAACAAAACAUUUCAUUCUAAGAAUAGAAAGUUUAAAAAAAGAAAGAAAGAAUAAAACACCCAUGGCUGCUCGGCCAGCCAUGGUGAUUGAAAAAAAAAUGUGUGUUUUGUUGCUAUUUUGAUCAUGAUUCAAGUAAAUUGCAAGUUCAAGGGGGUGAUAGCAACGUUGGAUAUUGAAUCGGGGAAGAAGAAAUUGCGAAAUUGGAGCAAUUAAGGGCAGAAAUUCGUCCGAGAAAAUUAAGGCUAAAAGAGCGUCGAGACGAACGGGUUACGAAUAGCCGCUAACAGGUACAGAUAGUCGAUUUGGUGACCCUUCAGCAUAGGACUUCUACUCAGCUGUUUUGGAGAGCUCCGUUGUUCCGGAGUCUAGAAUUUUGGUUCAGAUCUUAUAAUGUAUAUGUAUAUGUUUAUCCAGGGGUACGGCGGGGCCCUGUCCCGUCAUAUUUUGUUUUCGCUACUCUUAAAGGUCUGUAGACAUAUGUGUGGGUUGUGUAUGGGUUCUGUUCAGCUGUGUCUAUACGAUGUGCCGUGGUAUGAUGUUCGUCUCUAGUAGCAGCCUUGUCGGCUUGCAUACGGUAUUGAUAUGUGAUGGCAGCCUUGUCGGCUUGCGUAUUAUUUCAUGAUAUGAUUAGUUGUGCCUCCUCAGGAGACCGUUGAUCUGGAAGUAUAUAUAUAUAUA